rnacentral:lncRNA from 1 species
CUAAUACUUCCAGGAACGCCUCGUAAAACAGACUCGACAGCAGACCAGGGUUGAAGUUCUGUAGGCUACAGCAAUUACCCGUUGGAACCAAAAUUUGGCAUGGACAUUUAGCCUAAAACACAUUUAAACUUUCAGUCCGGUAGAAGAUUCGAAAAUGGACACAAUUCAAUGGAUAUCAAUCAACAAAGAGGUAUACAGACGAGGAGGCAUACAAAAGACUUCACCCUCCCUUCAGCUCUGAUGAAUAUAACAGGAAACCUGUUUGAACACCUGGCUAUGGAUACGGAGAACAUCAAGACAUUAACAUCAACACGCCAGAGGAUAUAUCCAUUGGACCUGGGGCUCUGCUGGGGGUUUACCUCAUAUUUAGAUUUUUUUAUUCUGCUUUGCCACUAAAAUCAUAAUAAACACUGAC